rnacentral:tRNA from 1 species
GCAAUUAUAGCUUAAUAUAAAGCAUUGGUCUUGUAAGCCAAAGAUAGAUAUUACUUUCUUAGUUGCU